GAUACACCCCUUGGACUAGAUAGCAUUGGCAUUGACGAUGAGAGCUAUAGGCUUGAAGAUGAUGUAAUUGUGAACCCCAGUAUAGUUGCUGAUGACUGAUGGAGUAUGGAUAAAGAUAAGUUGAUAUCAGAAUUAACUUAUUCCGUCCUUGGUAUUAAUGGUACUUCAAAUGACCAACUACGAUGCUGCAAAUGAUGUUUCUUUUUUG